rnacentral:rRNA from 1 species
UACAGAGGGGGCAAGCGUUGUUCGGAAUUACUGGGCGUAAAGGGCGCGUAGGCGGCCUGUUAAGUCGGACGUGAAAUCCCUCGGCUCAACCGGGGAACUGCGUCCGAUACUGGCGGGCUUGAAUUCGGGAGAGGGAUGUGGAAUUCCAGGUGUAGCGGUGAAAUGCGCAGAUAUCAGGAAGAACACCAACGGCGAAGGCAGCUCGCUAGGACGGUACUGACGCUGAGACGCGAAAGCGUGGGGAGCGAACAGG